rnacentral:tRNA from 1 species
GCGGGUGUAGCUCAGUGGUAGAGCUCCAGCCUUCCAAGCUGAUUGCGUGGGUUCGAUUCCCAUCACCCGCUCCA